rnacentral:tRNA from 1 species
CUUCUUCUAUAGGAAAGCAGCAUUCCAUUGGUUU